rnacentral:rRNA from 1 species
CGAUGUCUACUAGUUGUCGGGUUUUAAUUAACUUGGUAACGCAGCUAACGCGUGAAGUAGACCGCCUGGGGAGUACGGUCGCAAGAUUAAAACUCAAAGGAAUUGACGGGGACCCGCACAAGCGGUGGAUGAUGUGGAUUAAUUCGAUGCAACGCGAAAAACCUUACCUACCCUUGACAUGUACGGAAGUCACGAGAGAUCGAGAUGUGCUCGAAAGAGAACCGUAACACAGGUGCUGCAUGGCUGUCGUCAGCUCGUGUCGUGAGAUGUUGGGUUAAGUCCCGCAACGAGCGCAACCCUUGUCAUUAGUUGCUACGUUUAGUUGAGCACUCUAAUGAGACUGCCGGUGACAAACCGGAGGAAGGUGGGGAUGACGUCAAGUCCUCAUGGCCCUUAUGGGUAGGGCUUCACACGUCAUACAAUGGUACAUACAGAGGGCCGCCAACCCGCGAGGGGGAGCUAAUCCCAGAAAGUGUAUCGUAGUCCGGAUCGCAGUCUGCAACUCGACUGCGUGAAGUUGGAAUCGCUAGUAAUCGCGGAUCAGCAUGUCGCGGUGAAUACGUUCCCGGGUCUUGUACACACCGCCCGUCACACCAUGGGAGCGGGUUUUACCAGAAGUAGGUAGCUUAACCGCAAGGGGGGCGCUUACCACGGUAGGAUUCGUGACUGGGGUGAAGUCGUAACAAGGUAGCCGUAUCGGAAGGUGC